UAGAAAAAAAUCAGGUCUUAUAUAUGUAGAUGUAUAUGUGACUGUGAAGGACUUUAAAAGAAAAAGAUUCCCUGAUUCAAAGGGUAACUAAUACGACCGUUUCAGUUCAAGUUAAUUAUUGCUUAUUUUGGUUCUAUGAAUCUUCACAAAGAAACCUAGUCGACUAGUCUUUUGUUCAUUGUUUAGAUAAUAGUGCGUCUAGUUUGGUAGGAGGGACUUUGAUGAGACUAAUAUUGUUAUAAAAACUGUGAUGAAGGAUCAAGAAGGAAUAAGAGCAAACAGACCUGCAGACAUUGAGCCAGCAAAAGU